UACGGAGGGUGCGAGCGUUGUCCGGAAUCAUUGGGCGUAAAGGGCGCGUAGGUGGCCCGGUAAGCGUGCGGUGAAAGCUUGGGGCUCAACCCCGAGUCGGCCGUGCGAACUGCUGGGCUGGAGCACUGUAGAGGCAGGCGGAAUUCCGGGUGUAGCGGUGGAAUGCGUAGAGAUCCGGAAGAACACCGGUGGCGAAGGCGGCCUGCUGGGCAGUGGCUGACACUGAGGCGCGAAAGCGUGGGGAGCGAACAGG
rnacentral:rRNA from 1 species